UACAGAGGUGCCAAGCGUUAGGCGGAAUCACUGGGCUUAAAGCGCGUGUAGGUGGGUCGUUAAGUGUCCGCGUGAAAUCCCACGGCUCAACCGUGGAACUGCCGGGCAUACUGGCGAUCUUGAGGCAUUCAGGGGCGAGCGGAACAAGUGGUGGAGCGGUGAAAUGCGUAGAUAUCACUUGGAACGCCAAUGGUGAAAACAGCUCGCUGGGAAUGAUCUGACGCUGAGACGCGAAAGCCAGGGGAGCGAACGGG
rnacentral:rRNA from 1 species